GGGUGGGGCUGUCACAAAUUGGAGCCUGUAUCCCUUGGAUACAGGCUCCAAUUUGCUCGCCACAGCUGAGUGUUGUUUGCCAGUGGACCUAAAGGUGCUUCCGUGUAAACACUGCGCAACACCGGCUGAGGGAUCUGCUGUUCCGCUACAACUGCCAGCUGCGCUCGUCCCAGGUCUGCUUCUUCCACAGAAAAAAGCAGCCUGCUGUGUUAGAGCAGGAGGAUCUGCUGGUGGAUGGCAGUUUUCCAGAGAGCCCUGUAAUCGGCUCCUGUCUUCUUGGGCUUCUUGUCAGGCAGUUGAUCAGAUGCUGGGGAUAAAAGACGCCUAAAAGGGUCCAGACUUGGGUCUGGAGCACGGGGAGAUAGAGGCAGCAGCUCCGUGGCAUCAGAGUCGUCUACAAAAUGUAAAAAUGCAGAUGGCUUAUUCAUGGGUGACGCGACCCGCAGGAAGAUCUUCUGUCUCCAGGAGACCCUGCGUGGAGUCAGAGGGAGGCCUCCGCUCAGAGAGUCAUUGCUGCAGCUUGACAGCGUCCUUUUCCUGCCUUCUC